rnacentral:rRNA from 1 species
UCCUGGCUCAGGAUGAACGCUGGCGGCGUGCUUAACACAUGCAAGUCGAACGAAGCACCUCUAAUCGAAGAUUGAGAAAGCUUGCUUUGAUUGAUUCACCUUGAGGUGACUGAGUGGCGGACGGGUGAGUAACGCGUGGGUAACCUACCCUAUACAGGGGGAUAACAGUUGGAAACGACUGCUAAUACCGCAUAAGCGCACAGGACCGCAUGGUCUAGUGUGAAAAAACUCCGGUGGUAUAGGAUGGACCCGCGUCUGAUUAGCUAGUUGGUGAGGUAACGGCUCACCAAGGCGACGAUCAGUAGCCGACCUGAGAGGGUGACCGGCCACAUUGGGACUGAGACACGGCCCAAACUCCUACGGGAGGCAGCAGUGGGGAAUAUUGCACAAUGGGCGAAAGCCUGAAUGCAGCGACGCCGCGUGAACGAAGAAGUAUUUCGGUAUGUAAAGUUCUAUCAGCAGGGAAGAAAAAUGACGGUACCUGACUAAGAAGCUCCGGCUAAAUACGUGCCAGCCGCGGC